UGGGUGGUAAAUGCCGGAUGUUCCACAUGAGCGCAUGCGAGUGUGGGAAAGGCUUUUUGCGGCAUGGGAUGGGGUCGCGUCCUAUCAGCUUGUUGGUGGGGUAACGGCCUACCAAGGCGUUGACGGGUAGCCGGCCUGAGAGGGCGACCGGCCACAUUGGGACUGAGAUACGGCCCAGACUCCUACGGGAGGCAGCAGUGGGGAAUAUUGCACAAUGGGCGCAAGCCUGAUGCAGCGACGCCGCGUGCGGGAUGGAGGCCUUCGGGUUGUAAACCGCUUUUGUUCAAGGGCAAGGCACGGUUUUUGGCCGUGUUGAGUGGAUUGUUCGAAUAAGCACCGGCUAACUACGUGCCAGCAGCCGCGGUAAUACGUAGGGUGCAAGCGUUAUCCGGAUUUAUUGGGCGUAAAGGGCUCGUAGGCGGUUCGUCGCGUCCGGUGUGAAAGUCCAUCGCUUAACGGUGGAUCCGCGCCGGGUACGGGCGACUGACUCGAGGGU
rnacentral:rRNA from 1 species